rnacentral:rRNA from 1 species
AUUGAACGCUGGCUGCAUACCUAACACAUGCAAGUCGAACGAGUUGCGGAUGGGUGAGUAAUGUCUGGGCACCUGCCUGAUGGAUGGGGAUAACUCCUGGAAACGGUAGCUAAUACCGCAUAACAUUCGAUGUGCCCAGCUGGGCUUAGCUGGUUGGUGGGGUAAAGGCUCACCAAGGCGACGCUCCCUAGCUGGUCUGAGAGGAUGAACAGCCACACUGGAACUGAGACACGGCCCAGACUCCUACGGGAGGCAGCAGUGGGGAAUAUUGCACAAUGGGCGCAAGCCUGAUACAGCCAUGCCGCGUGUAUGAAGAAGGCCGUCGGGUUGUAAAGUACUUUCAGCGGGGAGGCGUUACCUGAAGAAGAAGCACCGGCUAACUCCGUGCCAGCAGCCGCGGUAAUUA